rnacentral:rRNA from 1 species
CCCGCUGAACUUAAGCAUAUCAAUAAGCGGAGGAAAAGAAACUAACAAGGAUUCCCCUAGUAACGGCGAGUGAAGAGGGAAGAGCCCAAGAUUGAAAGCUGGCGUCUUCGGCGUCCGCAUUGUAAUCUCAAGAAGUGUUUUCCGCUUCGGACCAAGCCUAAGUCCCCUGGAAAGGGGCAUCAUAGAGGGUGAUAAUCCCGUACAUGGCUUGGAGCGCCCGAGGCUUUGUGAUACGCUUUCUAAGAGUCGAGUUGUUUGGGAAUGCAGCUCAAAAUGGGUGGUAAAUGCCAUCUAAGGCUAAAUAUUGGGGAGAGACCGAUAGCGAACAAGUACAGUGAUGGAAAGAUGAAAAGAACUUUGAAAAGAGAGUUAAACAGUACGUGAAAUUGCCAAAAGGGAAGGGUAGGAGGUCAGAGAUGCGGCCUGGGAUUCAGCCUUGCUUUUGCUUGGUGUUUUUCCCAGAUUGCAGGCCAACGUCGGUUUUGGGCACUGGAGAAGGGUAGGAGGAACGUGGCACCCCUCGGGGUGUGUUAUAGCCUCCUACUGGAUACAGCGACCGAGACCGAGGACAGCAGCGUACU